rnacentral:SRP_RNA from 1 species
GGUCGGGCCCCGCACGGUGGACCCCUGUGAACCCCGUCAGGUCCGGAAGGAAGCAGCGGCAGCAGGACGAAGCGCGUUGCGGAUCUGUCCGGCUCGG